CCGUGCAGCACGAUGCAACGUUGGACCCCAACGCAGCUGCUGGCCACUGCACAAGAUUAGAUAUAACACUCUUGUGCGUGUGACAGCGACUAUUAUGGGGCUUCCAUGACA
rnacentral:pre_miRNA from 1 species